rnacentral:rRNA from 1 species
AUUGAACGCUGGCGGCAUGCUUUACACAUGCAAGUCGGACGGUAACAGGGUGCUUGCACCGCUGACGAGUGGCUAACGGGUGAGUAAUGCGUCGGAACGCACCGAGUAAUGGGGGAUAACGCAGCGAAAGCUGUGCUAAUACCGCAUACGCUCUGAGGAGGAAAGCGGGGGACCUUCGGGCCUCGCGUUAUUCGAGCGGCCGACGUCUGAUUAGCUAGUAGGUGAGGUAAGAGCUCACCUAGGCGACGAUCAGUAGCGGGUCUGAGAGGAUGAUCCGCCACACUGGGACUGAGACACGGCCCAGACUCCUACGGGAGGCAGCAGUGGGGAAUUUUGGACAAUGGGCGCAAGCCUGAUCCAGCCAUGCCGCGUGUCUGAAGAAGGCCUUCGGGUUGUAAAGGACUUUUGUCAGGGAGGAAAUCCUUAGCGCUAAUACCGUUGAGGGAUGACAGUACCUGAAGAAUAAGCACCGGCUAACUACGUGCCAGCAGCCGCGGUAAAAC